UACAUGGGGUGCAAACGUUGCUCGGAAUUAUUGGGCGUAAAGGGUGCGUAGGCGGUUUGGUAAGUCUGAUGUGAAAUCUAUGGGCUCAACUCAUAGUCUGCAUCGGAAACUGCCGGGCUUGAGUGUGGGAGAGGUGAGUGGAAUUCCUGGUGUAGCGGUGAAAUGCGUAGAUAUCAGGAGGAACACCUGUGGCGAAAGCGGCUCACUGGACCAUAACUGACGCUGAUGCACGAAAGCUAGGGGAGCAAACAGG
rnacentral:rRNA from 1 species